UACGGGGGGGACGAGCGUUGUUCGGAUUUACUGGGCGUAAAGGGCGCGUAGGCGGACCUUCAAGUCGGGUGUGAAAACUGUCGGCUCAACUGACAACCUGCACUCGAUACUGUCGGCCUUGAGUACGGGAGAGGAGAGCGGAAUUCCUGGUGUAGCGGUGAAAUGCGUAGAUAUCAGGAAGAACACCAGUAGCGAAGGCGGCUCUCUGGACCGAUACUGACGCUAAAGCGCGAAGGCUUGGGGAGCAAACAGGAUUAGAUACCCGCGUA
rnacentral:rRNA from 1 species